rnacentral:lncRNA from 1 species
AUGACAGCUACCCCCUCCCUCCAUGCAGCCCCAUUUAUAUCUAAGCGCGUCCGCGCACACACACACACACACACACGUACACACACUGAGAGUGACUCGCGCACACGCGGACGCCGGCACACCGGUAGAGACGUCAGGAUUGGACGCAGCAGGGGAUCCCCAGCAUUCCAUUUCUGCCUCGCUUGGCGUAUCAUCAUCUUUUACCGGGAGGAGAUGAGCUCGCGCCGGUUCACACUCGCGGAGGGAAGCAGAGUCCAACAAAGUGGCUGCUGCUGUUGUCAUAAUCUAGAAGAGGAGGAUAACCCCCCCACACCUCAUAGGACGAACAGGUAGGACAGCCCCGAUCCCAUACACACUACUGCCUAGCAUGCACAUAUGUAAAAUCCUUUUCUUAGGUCUGUGGCGUGGAUCUCAUUCUCAUCUCAGUUGCUCGUGUGAAGCACUGUUUCACUAUUUUUCGUCAGUGCGGCACAGAACAACAAUCAAACCCCACGUGCCUAAUACAGUUGUAACUUUUCUAAUUGGCUGGCUUGUUUCCCCUCCGUCGUGUACAGUGAGCUGAGCGGAGCCGCUCGAAAAGUUGGUUUCAUUGGUUGAACAGCUUUACGCUCUGCGCUUUUAAACCAGUUAUACGCCGAAUGGAGUCAGAUAAAAAACAAAACAAAAAAACAACAGGGGA